UGGCCCUCAAGCACAGCAAUCUGCUGCUCAACUUCCCGGAUUUGCCCGGACAAGCCAGAAGCCGGAUCACCUUCCGCCUCCACGUCCAUGGCCAAACCUAGGUUAAAGGUUGAAGGUUGGUUUUUUUAAAGAACCAACCUCCUCAUAUUGAAAAGAUGAAGACCGAACCAGUUGAUCCUGAGGAGGAAAAGCAAAUUCAAAGAUAUGAAAUAUGCAAUGGUUAAGCU
rnacentral:lncRNA from 1 species